UCCUACGGGGCGCAGCAGUGAGGAAUAUUGGUCAAUGGUCGGGAGACUGAACCAGCCAAGCCGCGUGAGGGAUGAAGGUACAGAGUAUCGUAAACCUCUUUUGUCAGGGAACAAAGGCGGGGACGCGUCCCCGGAUGAGUGUACCUGAAGAAAAAGCAUCGGCUAACUCCGUGCCAGCAGCCGCGGUAAUACGGAGGAUGCGAGCGUUAUCCGGAUUUAUUGGGUUUAAAGGGUGCGCAGGCGGUCUGUUAAGUCAGCGGUCAAAGCCCGGGGCUCAACCCCGGCCCGCCGUUGAAACUGCCUCC
rnacentral:rRNA from 1 species